rnacentral:lncRNA from 1 species
UGGCAACCCUGGUUUACCACAGCAGUCCCAAAGGCCUGAAGCUGGAAGACAAGCCUGAGAGACAUCAUCCUCACAGAUCUGUGAUGUUCUCAACCUUGAUCAGAGAAGCUUCUUUCCACAGUGGGCAGAACUGCUCCAAGUGUUUGGAAUAAAUGACUUUGCUCAUAGAUGGACACUGAGAUGGGCACAGUAUGCCCUAAAUGGGGCAUCUAUAUCAGCCCCUCUCCAGUACUCCCCAGGCCCAGGAAAUAUCAAGGAAAAGGAGGAAUAAAGAAUGUAUAUUGGACAUGACAGGAACUCACAACAGCUGAACAAGACCAACCAGUCAAAAUUCCACUUUUGAUAAAAGAUGGGCUCACAAAGGCCCCACCUCUAGCUGAGGAGGAAUUAAGAGUUGAUGGCUGCUGGGGAGGGAGACUCUUCUUUGGGGGGAUGUGGUCACUGGGAGGUUGCCUGUGCUCUGAUGGAUGCCUCUACUUCUAUGUGCAUGGAGACAGCACUAAUGGAUUCUG